GGACGAACGCUGGCGGCGUGCCUAAUACAUGCAAGUUGAGCGAUGAAGAUUGGUGCUUGCACCAAUUUGAAGAGCAGCGAACGGGUGAGUAACGCGUGGGGAAUCUGCCUUUGAGCGGGGGACAACAUUUGGAAACGAAUGCUAAUACCGCAUAACAACUUUAAACAUAAGUUUUAAGUUUGAAAGAUGCAAUUGCAUCACUCAAAGAUGAUCCCGCGUUGUAUUAGCUAGUUGGUGAGGUAAAGGCUCACCAAGGCGAUGAUACAUAGCCGACCUGAGAGGGUGAUCGGCCACAUUGGGACUGAGACACGGCCCAAACUCCUACGGGAGGCAGCAGUAGGGAAUCUUCGGCAAUGGACGAAAGUCUGACCGAGCAACGCCGCGUGAGUGAAGAAGGUUUUCGGAUCGUAAAACUCUGUUGGUAGAGAAGAACGUUGGUGAGAGUGGAAAGCUCAUCAAGUGACGGUAACUACCCAGAAAGGGACGGCUAACUACGUGCCAGCAGCCGCGGUAAUACGUAGGUCCCGAGCGUUGUCCGGAUUUAUUGGGCGUAAAGCGAGCGCAGGUGGUUUAUUAAGUCUGGUGUAAAAGGCAGUGGCUCAACCAUUGUAUGCAUUGGAAACUGGUAGACUGA
rnacentral:rRNA from 2 species